UUUUACGUAGGGUAUUAAGAAUUGAGAGGAGAGUGCCCCCUGAACUCGAGAACUCGAGAAUCCGAGAAUCCGAGAGAGAUGUCCAACUAAGUUGGGCACUGAAGUGCUCUGCGCUUAUGUCUCAUUAGAGAUACUUUGCCGGCGAAUCAUCGUCGUUGUCGUGGAUGCUUUGCUACUUUGCUACUUUGCUACUUCUGCUGCUGCUGGUGUCUUCUUCUGGGGCCUGACCUCGCAGUGGCGUGGCUUUAUAAAAAGACACAGAUUAGUAAUGCUCUCAAGUGUGGUCCCAUUCCAGCCCCCUCCGCCACAUCUGUAUGUGGGGGCACACAACGCACAACACACAGCACACAAGUGCGAGUGUAAUGUGUGUGUAAGUAGCAGCGCAAAGUGUCAGCUUUGGAGGCAGACUUAAGCAUAAGAAAGCUUUGCGCCAAGAGGGAAAAUGAAAGAAAAACCAACGUUAAAUUAGUGGCAAUUGUGCGCGACAUGUGUAGAGUGCCCGUGGCCACCGCCGAUCCCCGAAAUCCCCGCACUUACUCGUAACUAUUUAUUUAGUCGACUUUCGCAGCUUCAGAUACAUAUGUAUCUUCUGAGGCUCAAGACGAAAUGGCCAGCGAUUUGUUGGAUAAGUUUCUAAACUGGCGCUGCCCGUAAAUAUCGCAGAUUUCAGAAACUCUAUUAAUGGCUCUGGUAGCCACUGAUGAAGGCACUUCUUCUAAGGUCGAGCCAUAAAUUACUAACGCAUUUGUUACUACAGUAAACUUAUUUUGGAACUUUAUAUGCUUUCUAACCUCUUGCUUAAAAAAAAUAUAUUUGAGAAAAGACUGAUUGAUUACUAGUAAGGUUUCGCCUUCUGUAAAUCUCGAGGCAAGUCGGAAUGUUCGCUCUGCGUGUGCAAUUUGUGCCAAAGUUCUUGUUUAAAGACCGCGCCAAAAGGAGGCCAAACUAAUAAAGAUGAAAUGGAAAUUCAUUGCGAGAAAACGAGAACAGACGAACUACUAUGUGCGAUCAGUGGACUGAAGGCGGUGAGGGUUCAAGGCUGUUGGCGCGAGGAAAAUGUGGGAAAAUAUGCCGAGUUGGGUGGGGAAAUUGAAAGCUUAAGUGGGCAGGGAAUUGUGUGGAGGUGCUGGAUACAAAUAAUCGAGUUAAAAGCAUUUACACUCCGUUUCAUAGUUCAUUACAUACAAUAAUAUACUUCCUAAAAAAAUUGUAAAUAUUUUGCUUACAUUAAAAUCAUUAUGAGUAUGGUAGAAAUGUACUUCAUAACGACUUGUUUCAAGUGCCGUCUAAAUUACGUGCAAUGCUUACACAUAAAUAGGCACAUAAUUACAUUUGACCUGAUAUCGCAUUACCAAUUCCCUCAAAAUCAAUUAGAAUAAUCCAAUUGAAAUCACCUGGAAACCACACCAGACUAAGCCCCACAAUCAUUUCGAUAAUUGUCGAAUUAUAAGCCAAACAAGCAGCAAUGCUGAUCCUUGGAUCAUUGACGGCCUUCCCCAAUUAAUCUCACAGAGCUGGGUAAACCGUUUCUAGGGGCAAAUGCCCCGAAUUAAAUUCUAGGAAAAAUCCCCUUUAAAGCGUGCGGCACAGCAACAACAUGUUGCACGACCCACCACCCCUGGGCAGCAACCGUUUUGUCACAAGUCCUGCCGCAAAGCCCCACUAAAGAGGAGCGCAGGCUGCCACUUUCAGGUUCUGCCGCCCGCAAAUAAAAACAUUAAAUGCUUUGUUGGCCAUGUUUGCCCCGUUCUCUCCCCCAUUAAGCCACGCCCCCUACCCACCGCCCACCGCGUGGCAACGUGUUGGCCAUUCAUUCAGUCAUUAAGUGGCAGCUGACGCCGCAGGGGGUGGCCACCGACCCCCGACAAGGGGGGGAAUGGGAUCUGGAUCUGGAUCUGGGGCACAGCGACUCCCGCAAUUUGUGGCCAGCUAAAUAAUUUUUAUUACAAUUCGGUUUCGGCUUAAUGCUGUUUUAGUCAAUUUAUUAUUAAUAUCCUCGCUUGGCACUGGCGUCACUAUGCGCUUUCGAAAUUUUGUGGUUGGAUGGUUAGGUCACAGAUGGAUUUCUAUACAAGCUUAUUUUGGGCUCGAUGCAAGUUUGGCAGACUUGUGUCAUAUGUGUUAUAAAUCAAUACAAAUCAUAUAUAUUUUCAUUAAAAAUCACUGAGUUAUAUGCAUUUAUGUGUAAAUGGUACACUUUUGAAUAUCUGUUUAUAUUUUACUAAAUUAUUAAAACUUUUACAAAGUGUUUGUUGUUUAUAUAAUUAGUAAUAAGCUAAAUGAUAUCAAUAAAUGCUGAUAUCUUUUAAUAGAUGCAUAUAUUGUACAAAACAUCCCCUAGAAUCGCAGCCUUCGAUGCCGGGGACUUUUUGCCAUCGGCAAUUAAAAACUUUUCCAUUCUGUACUGGAGCUCGCUUAGCCGUCAACUAAGUCAACUAAGCACAUAAAAUACAUCCAAUGUUGCGGAACCAAGUGAACGAUUGAACUUUGCAGUUGGUCCAAGCACACACAAAUCAAGCCGAAAACCGCUGUAAAGUUUGGCACUUCUUCAAAGCGCUUUGGAGGCGGCACAUCAAAUUAACCUUGAAAUGUGAAUAACAUUUCGUCGAAGACUCGCAGCGCAUUUUAAUUGAAUUUAAUUAACAUUUUACUACGCCCGAUACUUUGGAUAUGGGAAAAGCGACGACGACGACGACGACGACGACGGCGAAACUGAAACCGGCGGACAAACAAAUGGACGGACGUGCGGACGGAUGGCAAUUGGCGGACAAGCCAAAAAGCCAAGUUGACAAUGAAGCUGGCGACGCAUGCGCGCAGACUAAUUGUCUCGCAAAAGGUUAGCGGUUAGCGGCAGGGGGGUGGAUUUGGCCCUGAGGGUGGCCAAUAAAAAAAGGUAGCAACAACUAUAUGGGCAACGUGACCCAGACAACAACAAAGCUCAUGGUGGGAAACAAACGAACGCUUGUGGGUGGUUCGCCGGCGGAGGAGGCGGUGGCCAGACAUUGCACUUGAAAUUCAAGACAAUGGAAAAUUUGUAAUGAUGGAUGUUGUCGGCGAUUGGAUUGCAAGGGUUCGAAAAGGCUUCCUUCCACCUGUCACAUUAUAACCCAUUUUGCCCAGCGAUUAACUGGUAUACAAAUAAAGUAUAGCAGGUAAUCGAAGAUUGGUGCAAUAAAAAUGAAAAAGGUGUACUUCAGUGUGAGAUCUCAUCUUACCAACAGCUUGGCUGCAAUCUGUAAAUGCGGAAAAAAAUGUUUGUGCAGGGCGUUGAAUGUCCAACUGAAAACCGAAAGAAAAACUCACAGAUUCAAAUGCAGCCAGAGCUGCAGGCACAGAUACAAGAGGCAGGAGUCGUUUGUUGGAGGUACGAGUAUAUAUGUGUUGGAGUCUCGCUGGGAUCAUAUUAAACGCUUAGCUGGACUUAACCACCACCCCCUCCGGAGGCACUUUUGGGACAGAGCUCGUCUGUCAACGGGAAUCCAGGAGGGAGCAAGUCAAAUGUGUGCAUUAAAUGUCAAUAACCAUAACUUAA